UCCCGUGUAGCUCUGUUGGUAGAGCAUGGUGUUUGCAACGCCAGGGUUGUGGGUUCUAUUCCCACAGGGGAC
rfam:Salmo salar isolate Sally breed double haploid chromosome ssa02, whole genome shotgun sequence.